rnacentral:rRNA from 1 species
CUACGGGAUGCUCCAGUGGGGAAUAUUGCACAAUGGAGGAAACUCUGAUGCAGCAACGCCGCGUGGAGGAUGACACUUUUCGGAGCGUAAACUCCUUUUAUAUAGGAAGAAGAUGACGGUACUAUAUGAAUAAGCGCCGGCUAACUCCGUGCCAGCAGCCGCGGUAAUACGGGGGGCGCAAGCGUUACUCGGAAUCACUGGGCGUAAAGAGCGUGUAGGCGGAUUAAAAAGUCAGAAGUGAAAUCCUAUAGCUUAACUAUAGAACUGCUUCUGAAACUCUGAAUCUAGAAUAUGGGAGAGGUAGAUGGAAUUUCUGGUGUAGGGGUAAAAUCCGUAGAGAUCAGAAGGAAUACCGAUUGCGAAGGCGAUCUACUAGAACAUUAUUGACGCUGAGACGCGAAAGCGUGGGGAGCAAACAGGAUUAGAUACCCCAGUAGUC